UACGAAGGGGGCUAGCGUUGUUCGGAUUUACUGGGCGUAAAGCGCACGUAGGCGGAUCGAUCAGUCAGGGGUGAAAUCCCAGAGCUCAACUCUGGAACUGCCUUUGAUACUGUCGAUCUGGAGUAUGGAAGAGGUGAGUGGAAUUCCGAGUGUAGAGGUGAAAUUCGUAGAUAUUCGGAGGAACACCAGUGGCGAAGGCGGCUCACUGGUCCGGUUCUGACGCUGAGGCGCGAAAGCGUGGGGAGCAAACAGG
rnacentral:rRNA from 1 species